GAAUACAUAGGGUAAGGAGUAGGUUACCGCCUGAACUGAAACAUCUUAGUAGGGCGAGGAAGAGAAAGUAAACAACGAUUCCGGUAGUAGUGGCGAGCGAAUCCGGAACAGCCCAAACCUUAUUUGCUUUUGUUUACCAGUUUACUGGUAAGCAAAUAAGUUGGUAGACGAAUGUAAAUAAGGGGUUGUGACAUUGCAAACAUCCUUGUGUGGGAGCUGGUUCGCCAGCGUCCACACGAGGCAGUAGGUGCUACCAAUAGCCUACAUAAGGUCAGAAAUUAGCAUUGCGAGCAGAACAAGUUGGAAAGCUUGGCCAUAGACAGUGAUAGCCUGGUACGCCAAGUGAUGCUAACCUUAUAUUUGCAAAGAAUUUACUGCGAUUCACGCACUUUAUGUGCGGGGAUUACAGUAAAUUCGGUUGUCGAGUAGGUCGGGACACGUGAAACCCUGACUGAAUCUGGGGGGUCCACCCUCCAAGGCUAAAUAUAUUACAUGAUCGAUAGAGAACAAGUACCGUGAGGGAAAGGUUAAAAGAACCCCGGGAGGGGAGUGAAAUAGAACCUGAAAUUGUGUGCGUACAAGGAGUCGGAGCCCUUCGGGGUGACGGCGUGCUUUUUGUAGAACGAUCCAACGAGUUAUUUGCAUGCGCAAGCUUAAGUCAAUUGACGGAGGCCUAGCGAAAGCGAGUCUGAAUAGGGCGAACUAGUGCAUGUGAAUAGACCCGAAACCAGGUGACCUAACCAUGGGCAGGCUGAAGCGCAGGUAAAACUGCGUGGAGGGCCGAACCGUAGCGAGUUGCAACACGCCCGGAUGACCUGUGGUUAGCGGUGAAAUGCCAAUCGAACCUGGAGAUAGCUGGUUCUCCUCGAAAUAGCUUUAGGGCUAGCGUGACGUGGUAGCUGGUAGGGGUAGAGCUCUGUUUCGGAAUGGGGGUCGCAAGAUUACCCACCCUUGACAAACUACGAAUACUAUCAGUGGAAUCGUUGCAGUUAGAACGGCGGGGCUAAGCUCGUCGCUCGAAAGGAAAACAGUCCAGAUCGCCAUCUAAGGUCCCUAAGUCUAUGCUAAGUGGGAAACGAGGUGAGAUUUCUUAAACAACUAGGAUGUUGGCUUAGAAGCAGCCAUUCAUUUAAAGAGUGCGUAACAGCUCACUAGUCAAGAGAUCUUGCGCGGAAAAUGUAACGGGGCUAAGCAUAGCACCGAAGAUGCGAACUUCUAGUUUACUAGGAGUGGUAGAGGAGCGUUCCUCUCUGCGUUGAAGUCGAAUCGUGAGGUUCGGUGGAGCGUGAGGAAGUGAGAAUGUUGGAAUGAGUAACCACAAGGCAGGUGAGAAUCCUGCCCGCCGAAAGAGCAAGGUUUCCUGGGCCACGGUAAUCGUCCCAGGGUUAGUCGGUCCUAAGCCGAGGCGCGUAGCGUAGGCGAUGGACAACAGGUUAAUAUUCCUGUACUGGCAUGUAUUUGUUAUAUGUGCGCGGCAUAUUAGUCAGAGCGGAUUCAUGGUUAUAUCCGUCUAAGUAGGAGAAAUGCCUACGAAUGAAACGACCUUUAGGUCGAAUUUUGGCAAAGGUGCUGACUAGAAAAGCAAUAUAACGCGUGGUACAUGCCAUCCGUACCGCAAACCGACACAGGUGCUCAGGUCGAGAAGACCAAGGCGUACGAGUGAUUCUUCGUUAAGGAACUCGGCAAACAAGCGACCGUAACUUAGGGAUAAGGUCUGCCCCUCACUGAAAACAGUGAGAGCCGUGCAAAGUUCUUACACGUAGAUUUAGAACGAAAUCUUAAAUUUGAGAGCUUAGCGCGAUCGUACUCGCACUGUAUUCAGUGAGGGGCCGCAGCUAAGGAACCCAUGCAACUGUUUACCAAAAACAUAGGUCUGUGCUAACACGAAAGUGGAUGUAUACGGGCUGACGCCUGCCCAGUGCUGGAAGGUUAAGGGGAGUUGUGUAUGCAGCGAACUGAAGCCCCAGUGAACGGCGGCGGUAACUAUAACCGUCCUAAGGUAGCGAAAUUCCUUGUCAGGUAAGUUCUGACCCGCACGAAUGGCGUAAUGAUAUGGGUACUGUCUCAACGAAGAGCUCGGUGAAAGUGCAUUGACGGUAAAGAUGCCGUCUGUCCGCAGCAGGACGAAAAGACCCCGUGCAGCUUUACUACAGCUUGGCAUUGAGCCGGGUUAUAACAUGUGUAGUAUAGGUGAGAGGCUUUGAAGCUUAGACGCUAGUCUAGGUGGAGCCACCAGUGAAAUAUCACCCUUGUUAUGAUCUUGUUCUUACCGGGCCCGCAAAUUGGUAAUGAGACAAAACUACGUUUUUUCUCAUCGUGCCAGGUCGCGAAAUAAAUUCGCCGACUUGGACUGCUCUUUUUCCUUAAAAGAAGGAGAGUGUUCGAUGAAAAUAGAGGAGUUUUGGGCAUCUCGUUGUCGGUUUCCGGGUUCGGGACCGUGUCUGGUGGGUAGUUUAACUGGGGCGGUUGCCUCCUAAAGAGUAUCGGAGGCGUUCAAAGGUUGGCUAGGUUCGGAUGGAAAUCGAAUCGAUAGUGUAUACGCAUAAGCCAGCUUGACUGUGAGGCCUACAAGCCGAGCAGGGACGAAAGUCGGAGUAAGUUUUCCGCUGUCAGUACAUUUGUACAAGAGUGUGGUAUCGGCAGCGCUUUCGGAUAAAAGUUACGCCGGGGAUAACAGGCUUAUAGCGCCCAAUAGUUCACAUAGACGGCGCUGUUUGGCACCUCGAUGUCGGCUCAUCUCAUCCUGGGGCUGGAGCAGGUCCCAAGGGUCCGGCUGUUCGCCGGUUAAAGAGGUACGUGAGCUGGGUUCAGAACGUCGUGAGACAGUUCGGUUUAUAUCCGCUGUGGACGCAAGGAAAUUUGAGAGGAUCUACCCCUAGUACGAGAGGACCGGGGCGGACGCACCGCUGGUGUAUCGGUUGUUCUACCAAGAGCAUUGCCGAGUAGCUAUCGUGCGGAAUAGAUAAGCGCUGAAAGCAUAUUAAGCGCGAAACUAGCCUCAAGAUUAGAUUUCCCUAUGAUCCCCCAGAAAGACUAUCUGGUUGAUAGGCGCAAGAUGGAAGUAUGGCAACAUAUGUAGUCGAAGCGUACUAAUAGGGACAUUGACUUUUUA
rnacentral:rRNA from 1 species